CCUACGGGAGGCAGCAGUGGGGAAUAUUGCACAAUGGGGGAAACCCUGAUGCAGCGACGCCGCGUGAGUGAAGAAGUAUUUCGGUAUGUAAAGCUCUAUCAGCAGGGAAGAGAAUGACGGUACCUGAGUCAGAAGCCCCGGCUAACUACGUGCCAGCAGCCGCGGGAAUACGUAGGGGGCAAGCGUUAUCCGGAUUUACUGGGUGUAAAGGGAGCGUAGACGGCGAAGAAAGUCUGCAGUGAAAGCCCGCGGCUCAACCGCGGAACUGCUUUGGAAACUUUUUUGCUGGAGUAGCGGAGAGGUAAGCGGAAUUCGUGGUGUAGCGGUGAAAUGCGUAGAUAUUAGGAGGAACACCAGUGGCGAAGGCAGCUUACUGGACGGUAACUGACGUUGAGGCUCGAAAGCGUGGGGAGCAAACAGGAUUAGAUACCCUGGUAGUC
rnacentral:rRNA from 1 species